rnacentral:rRNA from 1 species
GACGAACGCUGGCGGCGUGCUUAACACAUGCAAGUCGAACGGAAAGGCCCUGCUUUUGUGGGGUGCUCGAUUGGCGAACGGGUGAGUAACACGUGAGUAACCUGCCCUUGACUUUGGGAUAACUUCAGGAAACUGGGGCUAAUACCGGAUAGGUGCUCCUGCUGCAUGGUGGGGGUUGGAAAGUUUCGGCGGUUGGGGAUGGACUCGCGGCUUAUCAGCUUGUUGGUGGGGUAGUGGCUUACCAAGGCUUUGACGGGUAGCCGGCCUGAGAGGGUGACCGGCCACAUUGGGACUGAGGUACGGCCCAGACUCCUACGGGAGGCAGCAGUGGGGAAUAUUGCACAAUGGGCGGAAGCCUGAUGCAGCAACGCCGCGUGCGGGAUGACGGCCUUCGGGUUGUAAACCGCUUUCGCCUGUGACGAAGCGUGAGUGACGGUAAUGAGUAAAGAAGCACCGGCUAACUACGUG